CCCUUGUUCCUUAGAUCCACUCUUGAGUUAACUGGCCUUGUCCACAGAUUCAGGUGGACAGCCUACUUACCAGCAACUUGACCAGUUGCAUGUCGAGAGUGCUUGAGUCAUAAACAUGGCAGAGAAAUAUACCUCAGGCAAUGAAUUCUGGUAAAAUCCUUGUUUGUCAUUCAACGCUUUCAUUGACUUGGACACU